AGCUUGGUGCAGUGGCAGUAUCAUAGCCAGUGAGGUUUAACUGAGGUGUCAUCAUAGUUAAUUGAAAUGUCAUUACAUAUCUAGACAAGUAUUUUCCUGAUAACUUUCCCAUGAGGUAAGAAAAAAAAAAACAAUAUGUAUGUGAAAUAUUUAAAAGUCUUGCAAAGA
rnacentral:snRNA from 1 species